rnacentral:tRNA from 1 species
AAGAGAGGCUCGCAGCAACAAAGACUGCUAAUCUUUGCAUUCCUCGGUUGGACCCCGGGGCUCACUUG